AACCUGUCUUUUAAUCGAUAAUCCACGCUACUUUUUACUUAUUCUAAUAUCUUAUAUACCUCCAUCUUAAGGGGAAGUCUAAAUAUCUCCCCAUAAAAGAAAUCUAACAAGUUAGGUAAAGGUGUAGAUUAUGAAUAAGAUUUGAUGGGUUACAUAUAAAAUUAUUUAAGGAUUCUUUACUAAAAAUUUUUUUUAACUAGGAUUUAUUAGUAAUAAGAAAAUAUUAUUUUCUUAUGAAACUGAUAAUAAAUGUGU
rnacentral:rRNA from 1 species